AAGAAAGAGAGAGAGUGAGAGAGAUAGAGAGAGAGAGAGAGAGCACUUGAAUAUGAACAAGAUUUAACAUAUAAAAUUAUUGCCUGAAAAAGACCAUAUUCUUGAGAGGCUUUCAAAAGUUGGUUGAUGAUAUGAGCACGAUCAUGUCCUCCAAGAUUAAUGAUCGGUAUGCUAUCAUUCUUCACCAUCACUUUAUCAGGUCUCGAUUCUUGUGGUUGCACAUAAUAUUUAGGCACUUCUG